UUGGUGGGGUAACGGCCUACCAAGGCGACGACGGGUAGCCGGCCUGAGAGGGCGACCGGCCACACUGGGACUGAGACACGGCCCAGACUCCUACGGGAGGCAGCAGUGGGGAAUAUUGCACAAUGGGCGAAAGCCUGAUGCAGCGACGCCGCGUGAGGGAUGACGGCCUUCGGGUUGUAAACCUCUUUCAGCUCCGACGAAGCGAAAGUGACGGUAGGAGCAGAAGAAGCACCGGCCAACUACGUGCCAGCAGCCGCGGUAAUACGUAGGGUGCAAGCGUUGUCCGGAAUUAUUGGGCGUAAAGAGCUCGUAGGCGGCUUGUCGCGUCGGCUGUGAAAACCUGGGGCUCAACCCCGGGCCUGCAGCCGAUACGGGCAAGCUAGAAUUCGGUAGGGGAGACUGGAAUUCCUGGUGUAGCGGUGAAAUGCGCAGAUAUCAGGAGGAACACCGGUGGCGAAGGCGGGUCUCUGGGCCGAUAUUGACGCUGAGGAGCGAAAGCGUGGGGAGCGAACAGGAUUAGAUACCCUGGUAGUCCACGCCGUAAACGUUGGGAACUAGGUGUGGGCCACAUUCCACGUGGUCUGUGCCGCAGCUAACGCAUUAAGUUCCCCGCCUGGGGAGUACGG
rnacentral:rRNA from 1 species